UAGAUUAGAUUCAACUUUAUUGUCACUGCACAUGUAGGUACAAGGCAACGAAAUGCAGUUAGCAUCUAACCAGAAGUGCAAUAAGCAUGACCGCACAUUUGCGAGGAAAAUGCUGGGUAAAGAGAGCCGGUGCGGUGUUAGCUUUAGCUUGGCUCUUAGACCUCCGCGCUUCCCCCGCCUUUGUUUAUGAUCUCGACGCCGCCUGCGAGCACUUCCGCCCGGCCGGGUAGAGUGCGAAGCCUCGGUUGUUCUAGCGAUCUCAGGGAUGAGUCGAAGAUUGGUGAUAAAACUGCUGGUAAAGUCCUCACCGAUAUCCAAAAGCUCCUGUCGGGUGUAUGAUGUUAAAGCAAAGCUGUUCAG